UCGAGAAUAUUCGACAAUGGGCGAAAGCCUGAUCGAGCGACGCCGCGUGCAGGAUGAAGGUCUUAGGAUUGUAAACUGCUUUUCUACGGGAAGAAGGUACGAUAAGUACUGUGACGGUACUGUAGGAAUAAGUGGCUGCAAACUUCGUGCCAGCAGCCGCGGUAAUACGAAGGCCACAAGCGUUAUCCGGAUUUAUUGGGUGUAAAGGGCGCGUAGGUGGUUCGAUGCGUCUUCUGUUAAAUUUCACAGCUCAACUGUGAAGCCGCAGAGGAUACGGUCGGACUUGAGAGCGUUAGAGGCAAAUGGAACUCAUGGUGUAGGGGUGAAAUCCGUUGAUAUCAUGGGGAACACCGAAGGCGAAGGCAAUUUGCUGGGACGUUUCUGACACUGAGGCGCGAAAGCGUGGGGAGCAAAAAGG
rnacentral:rRNA from 1 species